UUUCUUUCAGCUUCUGCAGUAUGUCCUUUU
rnacentral:sRNA from 1 species